UGGACAGAUUAUUGUAUUCGACUGUAUUCACGGCGUGAAACAGGUGAUUACACUAUUUUUAAACGGAAAGUUAAUCAAUUAACAUAAUAGAUUCCU
rfam:Nicotiana attenuata strain TT scaffold03141, whole genome shotgun sequence.